UCCUGGUUUGCUCAGUAGAUGAGCGCUCCACUGGAGACAGGGAGAUCCCUGGUUCAAUACCAGGACCAGGCG
rnacentral:tRNA from 1 species